CCUACGGGGUGCAGCAGUGAGGAAUAUUGGUCAAUGGGCGCGAGCCUGAACCAGCCAAGUAGCGUGAAGGAUGACUGCCCUACGGGUUGUAGACUUCUUGUAUAAAGGAAUAAAGUGAGGCACGUGUGCCUUGUUGUAUGUACUUUAUGAAUAAGGAUCGGCUAACUCCGUGCCAGCAGCCGCGGUAAUACGGAGGAUCCGAGCGUUAUCCGGAUUGAGUGGGUUUAAGGGGAGCGUAGAUGGGUUGUUAAGUCAGUUGUGAGAGUUUGCGGCUCAACCGUGAAAUUGCAAUUGAUACUGGCAGCUUUGAGUACAGUUGAGGUAGGCGGAAUUCGUGGUGUAGCGGUGAAAUGCUUAGAUAUCACGAAGAACUCCGAUUGCGAAGGCAGCUUACUAAACUGCCACUGACAUUGAUGCUCGAAAGUGUGGGUAUCAAACAGGAUUAGAUACCCGGGUAGUC
rnacentral:rRNA from 1 species